rnacentral:lncRNA from 1 species
UAACACUCCCUAGUUUUGUAAACAAAUUUUGAUAUUGCACAGUCGAUUUUCACCAAAAACCUGAAACAAAACAAGAAUCCGAAUAUUUAUCCACUUGAUUUUCUAGUUGAUUUCAAUUCUAUCAGUCAAGUAAACAAAUAUGCAAUCUUAUAUAUACAAAAAAAAAAAAGCAAAGAACGGACGAAAAUGCUCGACUUUUUUUUAAUUUUUCUCGAUAAACAAACAGAAAAAACUUACACAGCUAUGCAGCAGAGGAGUAUUGACUGUAAUGCAGCAAAGGGGACAGUCGAUGGCGGUGCAGCAGAUGGUCGGGGAAAAUCUAAGGGAUUUGGGGAAAUAUUUAGGGAUUUGGGAAAAUUUUUAGGAGAAAAAAUAAGGGAUUUCGAGGAUAUGAUUUAGGGAUAAAACUGCGUAAAACAAAACGGCGUCGUUUCGUUUAAAAUAAAAUGAUACUUUGCGGCACUUUUCUUAUAACGCCGCUAAUGCUUGACCUUUUGCGGCGCCUUUCUCAUAAACGCCGCUACUGCUUUACUUAUUGCGGCAUUUUUCCGUUAGCGCCACUAAUGUAUAAUAUUUGAGGCGUUUUUCCGUCCAAACCCCACUAAAAACGCCGCUAAAAC